GAUGAACGCGGCGGCGUGCCUAAUACAUGCAAGUAGAACGCUGAAGGAGGAGCUUGCUCUUUCCGGAUGAGUUGCGAACGGGUGAGUAACGCGUAGGUAACCUGCCUGGUAGCGGGGGAUAACUAUUGGAAACGAUAGCUAAUACCGCAUAACAGUAGAUAUUGCAUGAUAUCUGCUUGAAAGGGGCAAUUGCUCCACUACCAGAUGGACCUGCGUUGUAUUAGCUAGUUGGUGAGGUAACGGCUCACCAAGGCGACGAUACAUAGCCGACCUGAGAGGGUGAUCGGCCACACUGGGACUGAGACACGGCCCAGACUCCUACGGGAGGCAGCAGUAGGGAAUCUUCGGCAAUGGGGGGAACCCUGACCGAGCAACGCCGCGUGAGUGAAGAAGGUUUUCGGAUCGUAAAGCUCUGUUGUAAGAGAAGAACGGGUGUGAGAGUGGAAAGUUCACACUGUGACG
rnacentral:rRNA from 1 species